rnacentral:rRNA from 1 species
UCGAGAAUCUUCGGCAAUGCGCGAAAGCGUGACCGAGCGAUGCCGCGUGCGGGAUGAAGGCCUUCGGGUUGUAAACCGUGAAAGUAAGGAGGAAGGCGCUGUGAAGAGCAGCGUUUGACCGAUUUACAGUAAGGACGGGCUAAGUUCGUGCCAGCAGCCGCGGUAACACGAACCGUCCGAACGUUAUUCGGAAUUAUUGGGCUUAAAGGGUGCGUAGGCGGCGUGUUAAGUCGGGUGUGAAAUCCCACAGCUCAACUGUGGAACUGCGCCCGAUACUGGCAUGCUCGAGGGAGACAGAGGUGAGCGGAACUGAUGGUGGAGCGGUGAAAUGCGUUGAUAUCAUCAGGAACACCAGUGGCGAAAGCGGCUCACUGGGUCUCUUCUGACGCUGAGGCACGAAAGCUAGGGUAGCGAACGGGAUUAGAUACCCCCGUAGUCC